GAAAUGGUGGGUAAUACUGUAUAAUCCCUGCGGGGGAAAGAUUUAUCGCUAUUAGAUGAGCCUAUGUUAGAUUAGCUAGUUGGUAGGGUAAAGGCCUACCAAGGCAGUGAUCUAUAGCUGGUCUGAGAGGAUGAUCAGCCACACUGGAACUGAGAUCGGUCCAGACUCCUACGGGAGGCAGCAGUGGGGAAUAUUGGACAAUGGGCGCAAGCCUGAUCCAGCUAUGCCGCGUGAGUGAGGAAGGCCUUAGGGUUGUAAAACUCUUUCAGUGGGGAAGAUAAUGACGGUACCCACAGAAGAAGUCCCGGCAAACUCCGUGCCAGCAGCCGCGGUAAUACGGAGGGGGCAAGCGUUGUUCGGAAUUAUUGGGCGUAAAGGGCAUGUAGGCGGUUCGGUAAGUUAAAGGUGAAAUGCC
rnacentral:rRNA from 1 species